AGAACGAACGCUGGCGGCAUGCCUAAUACAUGCAAGUCGAACGAACUCUUCGGAGUUAGUGGCGCACGGGUGCGUAACGCGUGGGAAUCUGCCCCUUGGUUCGGAAUAACAGUUGGAAACGACUGCUAAUACCGGAUGAUGACGAAAGUCCAAAGAUUUAUCGCCAAGGGAUGAGCCCGCGUAGGAUUAGCUAGUUGGUGAGGUAAAGGCUCACCAAGGCAACGAUCCUUAGCUGGUCUGAGAGGAUGACCAGCCACAUUGGGACUGAGACACGGCCCAAACUCCUACGGGAGGCAGCAGUGGGGAAUCUUGCGCAAUGGGCGAAAGCCUGACGCAGCCAAUGCCGCGUGAAUGAUGAAGGUCUAGGAUUGUAAAAUUCUUCACGGGACGAUAAUGACGGUACCGAGAAGAAGCCCGGAUAACUUCGUGCCAGCAGCCGC
rnacentral:rRNA from 1 species